GACGAACGCUGGCGGCGUGCUUAACACAUGCAAGUCGAACGGAAAGGCCCUGCUUUUGUGGGGUGCUCGAGUGGCGAACGGGUGAGUAACACGUGAGUAACCUGCCCUUGACUUUGGGAUAACUUCAGGAAACUGGGGCUAAUACCGGAUAGGAGCUCCUGCUGCAUGGUGGGGGCUGGAAAGUUUCGGCGGUUGGGGAUGGACUCGCGGCUUAUCAGCUUGUUGGCGGGGUAGUGGCUUACCAAGGCUUUGACGGGUAGCCGGCCUGAGAGGGUGACCGGCCACAUUGGGACUGAGAUACGGCCCAGACUCCUACGGGAGGCAGCAGUGGGGAAUAUUGCACAAUGGGCGGAAGCCUGAUGCAGCAACGCCGCGUGCGGGAUGACGGCCUUCGGGUUGUAAACCGCUUUCGCCUGUGACGAAGCGUGAGUGACGGUAAUGGGUAAAGAAGCACCGGCUAACUACGUG
rnacentral:rRNA from 1 species